rfam:Schistosoma rodhaini strain Burundi genome assembly, scaffold: SROB_scaffold0001790
AUCCAGUUGACGAGUCCCAAAUGAAAUGAAACGCUCGUUCUGGAU